GCUUGAGCACAAGGAGAUCGAUGGCCGUCUUAAGGAGUUAAGGGAACAAUUAAAAGAACUUACCAAGCAGUAUGAAAAGUCUGAAAAUGAUCUGAAGGCCCUACGAAGUGUUGGGCAGAUUGUGGGUGAAGUGUUUAAACAGUUAACUGAAGAAAAAUUCAUUGUUAAAGCUACCAAUGGACCAAGAUAUGUUGUGGGUUGUCGUCGACAGCUUGACAAAAGUAAGCUGAAGCCAGGAACAAGAGUUGCUUUGGAUAUGACUACACUAACUAUCAUGAGAUAUUUGCCAAGAGAGGUGGAUCCACUGAUUUAUAACAUGUCUCAUGAGGACCCUGAGAAUGUUUCUUAUUCUGAGAUUGGAGGGCUAUCAGAACAGAUCCGGGAAUUAAGAGAGGUGAUAGAAUUACCUCUUACAAACCCAGAGUUAUUUCAGCGUGUAGGAAUAAUACCUCCAAAAGGCUGUUUGUUAUAUGGACCACCAGGUACGGGAAAAACACUCUUGGCACGAGCCAUUGCUAGCCAGCUGGACUGCAAUUUCUUAAAGGUUGUAUCUAGUUCUAUUGUAGACAAGUACAUUGGUGAAAGUGCUCAUUUGAUCAGAGAAAUGUUUAAUUAUGCUAGAGAUCAUCAACCAUGCAUCAUUUUUAUGGAUGAAAUAGAUGCUAUUGGUGGUCGUCGGUUUUCUGAGGGUACUUCAGCUGACAGAGAGAUUCAGAGAACGUUAACGGAGUUACUGAAUCAAAUGGAUGGAUUUGAUACUCUGCAUAGAGUUAAAAUGAUCAUGGCUACAAACAGACCAGAUACACUGGAUCCUGCUUUGCUGUGUCCAGGAAGAUUAGAUAGAAAAAUACAUAUUGAUUUGCCAAAUGAACAAACAAGAUUAGACAUACUGAAAAUCCAUGCAGGUCCCAUUACAAAGCAUGGUGAAAUAGAUUAUGAAGCAAUUGUGAAGCUUUCAGAUGGCUUUAAUGGAGCAGACCUGAGAAAUGUUUGUACUGAAGCAGGUAUGUUCGCAAUUCGUGCUGAUCAUGAUUUUGUAGUACAGGAAGACUUCAUGAAAGCAGUCAGAAAAGUGGCUGAUUCUAAGAAGCUGGAGGC
rnacentral:lncRNA from 1 species